AAUGAACGCUGGCGGCAUGCCUAACACAUGCAAGUCGAACGAAGGCUUCGGCCUUAGUGGCGCACGGGUUCGUAACGCGUGGGAAUCUGACCUCAGGUUCGGAAUAACAGCGAGAAAUUGCUGCUAAUACCGGAUGAUAUCGCGAGAUCAAAGAUUUAUCGCCUGAGGAUGAGCCCGCGUAGGAUUAGCUAGUUGGUGUGGUAAAGGCGCACAAAGGCGACGAUCCUUAGCUGGUCUGAGAGGAUGAUCAGCCACACUGGGACUGAGACACGGCCCAGACUCCUACGGGAGGCAGCAGUGGGGAAUAUUGGACAAUGGGCGAAAGCCUGAUCCAGCAAUGCCGCGUGAGUGAUGAAGGCCUUAGGGUUGUAAAGCUCUUUUACCCGGGAUGAUAAUGACAGUACCGGGAGAAUAAGCUCCGGCUAACCCCGGGCCAGCCGUCGCCGUAA
rnacentral:rRNA from 1 species